AGCUAGAUAUUCUGGAUAACUUGCUGUAGCUUCUACAGCAGCACAUACUGCUUCACCUUGUGCUUUCAGACUAUGGAGAU
rnacentral:miRNA from 1 species